UCUCCAUCUGUUACUCAUUUGUCAAAGAUAAUAUUUCCAGGCUGUGAACUUUGGAAGCAGCACAGUUACUCUUAAAAUCCCUAUUGGUGGAUUGAAGCAGAACUCACUGCAGUCCUUUGGGGCAACAACACUACAUUAACAUCUAGCAAUGUGAUGGAUGAGAAUUCUUUCGAAGAUCCUAAGAAGGUGUCGCCAAUUGAAACUACGGUCGAAAAAGUUAGCGGGAACAUGGGUGUUGUACUCUCACCGCAAUCUUUCACUUCAUUUGAUUUGUUAAGAAAAUCCAUGAGCAAUAGGAUUGCAACAA